rnacentral:rRNA from 1 species
UACGUAGGCAGCAAGCGUUGUUCGGAAUUACUGGGCGUAAAGAGUGUGUAGGCGGUGCUCCAAGUCUGGUGUGAAAUCUCCCGGCUCAACUGGGAGGGUGCGCUAGAAACUGGAAUGCUAGAGGAUGGGAGAGGUAAGCGGAAUUCCUGGCGUAGCGGUGAAAUGCGUAGAUAUCAGGAGGAACACCUGUGGUGUAGACAGCUUACUGGACCAUUUCUGACGCUGAGACACGAAAGCGUGGGUAGCAAACAGG